CCCCCAUUUUUUCUUCAAAUUCCGAGCUGCACGGGGACCCUGAGGGCCGACCGUGAGUACGUUUCGGUUUCCAGUCAAAUUCUCCGUUUGGGCGGUCGGAAGAUCCGAUCGACCGCCCCACUCGUCGGACCUGAAAAAAAUUGGAGUAUGAUUGCCAGCACAUUGCAUUACUUGAUCUCCUCCUUGAAGUUAGAACCAGUUGAUUCUACGAUGGCGGACCAGUAUCUAGUUUUUCCUGGCACAGAUGAGCCUAGCACUUCCAGACAGCAUGGCACCGUGGUCGUACCUCAAUUAACCAACAGAAGCGGAAAAUUGUUGCAGAUUUUGAAUUCAAUACCUGAUGUUGAAUCAGACGAGGAAUCAGAUGGGAGGAAGUUAGUGCUCUCGCUCCAGGGCAAAGGUCUGGGUCCUCUUCUCAUCUGCCGAAAACUUCAUCUCAUUCAAAAUGACGGAUGUUCUAACCAAUCUAGAUCAACUCUCAUUUUCUUUAGAACGUCUAAUUGUUCAGAAGCUUGAAGAAAUUGACGUUAGGGAA
rnacentral:lncRNA from 1 species